GGGCGUUUAGUUUAAUGGUAAAACCUUGACCUUACAAGUCAAUUAUGGCAGUUCGAUUCUUCCAACGCCCA
rnacentral:tRNA from 1 species